UUCGGAUCACACGAGGGAAGCGAGUUGUUGUCUUUGGUUAUCUAGCUGUAUGAGUGUGUUGGUCUUCAUAAAGCUAGAUAACCGAAAGUAAAAACUCCUUCAUGAUCUUCAUGCUGCACA
rnacentral:precursor_RNA from 11 species